rnacentral:rRNA from 1 species
AAAGUUUCCUUCGGGGAGCGAGUAGAGUGGCGCACGGGUGAGUAACACGUAGGUAAUCUACCUUUGGAUGGGGAAUAACAACCGGAAACGGUUGCUAAUACCGCAUAAUGCAGCGGCACCUAAUGGUGACAGUUGUUAAAGCGGGGGAUCGAAAGACCUCGCGUCUGAAGAGGAGCCUGCGGCGGAUUAGCUAGUUGGUAAGGUAAUGGCUUACCAAGGCUAUGAUCCGUAACCGGCCUGAGAGGGCGGUCGGUCACACUGACACUGACAUACGGGUCAGACUCCUACGGGAGGCAGCAGUCGGGAAUUUUGGGCAAUGGGCGAAAGCCUGACCCAGCAACGCCGCGUGAAGGAUGAAAUCCCUCGGGAUGUAAACUUCGCAAGAACAGGAAGAAUAAGUAAGGGUUAAUAUCUCUUACGAUGACGGUACUGUUUGUAAGCUCCGGCUAACUCCGUGCCAGCAGCCGCGGUAAUACGGGGGGAGCAAGCGUUGUUCGGAUUUACUGGGCGUAAAGGGCGCGUAGGCGGCCACCGCAAGUCGGUUGUGAAAUCUCUGGGCUUAACCCAGAAAGGUCAACCGAUACUGCGGGGCUAGAGUGCAGAAGGGGCAACUGGAAUUCUCGGUGUAGCGGUGAAAUGCGUAGAUAUCGAGAGGAACACCUGCGGCGAAGGCGGGUUGCUGGGCUGACACUGACGCUGAAGCGCGAAAGCUAGGGGAGCGAACGGGAUUAGAUACCCCGGUAGUCCUAGCCUUAAACGAUGAAUGCUUGGUGUCUGGGGUUUUAUAGUCCCCGGGUGCCGUCGCUAACGCUUUAAGCA